ACUCAACGUCAUUCAAUUAAAAAGGGUGAGUUUAGAUUGUAAAAGCAAGCCGUCUCAGACACGGAUCCUUAAGCAAUUUGUUAGCCCUAAACUUGUUUUAUGGAGUUU
rnacentral:sRNA from 2 species